UACAGAGGUCCCAAGCGUUGUUCGGAUUCACUGGGCGUAAAGGGGGCGUAGGUGGUGGGGUAAGUCUGAUGUGAAAUCUCCGAGCUCAACUCGGAAAUGGCAUUGGAAACUACCUUGCUCGAGGGUUGGAGGGGGGACUGGAAUACUUGGUGUAGCAGUGAAAUGCGUAGAUAUCAAGUGGAACACCAGUGGCGAAGGCGAGUCCCUGGACAACUCCUGACACUGAGGCACGAAAGCUAGGGGAGCAAACAGG
rnacentral:rRNA from 1 species